rnacentral:rRNA from 1 species
UACGAAGGGGGCUAGCGUUGCUCGGAAUUACUGGGCGUAAAGGGAGCGUAGGCGGAUAGUUAAGUCAGAGGUGAAAGCCCAGGGCUCAACCUUGGAAUUGCCUUUGAUACUGGCUAUCUUGAGUAUGGGAGAGGUAAGCGGAACUCCGAGUGUAGAGGUGAAAUUCGUAGAUAUUCGGAAGAACACCAGUGGCCGAAGGCGGCUUACUGGCCCAUUACUGACGCU